rnacentral:lncRNA from 1 species
UCUUCUAAUCAUAUUUCAUAUUUUGGCAUAGUUGCUAUCUUUAUUCAUGCCCGACCUUCUCUCCUGGUUGGUCGAUGCUCUCCUCAUACCCAGACGAGGAGGGUUUCAUCUUCAGCUCAAUCCACAUCUUAUGCGAGGAGCCUGGAGGCCCCUAUUUUAGGUUCUUCAAUGAGCCAAGAUUGGCCUACUUUCUCCUCAUACAUGGAUGAUGAGAGAUUUAACUUUGGCUCAACUUGCAUCUCGCACGAGGAGCUUGGGGGUCUCCUUUUAGGCAACCUAUCUAAUGGGCCAAGAUCAGCCUAUUCUCUCCUUAUGCUCGGACA